GACGAACCGUGCGAACGUUAUUCGGAAUCACUGGGCUUAAAGCGCGUGUAGGCGGUGGGGUACGUCCGUUGCUGAAAUCCCCCGGCUCAACCGGGGAACGGGCGCGGAUACGACCUUCCUGGAGGGGCGUAGGGGGACCUGGAACUUCCGGUGGAGCGGUGAAAUGCGUUGAGAUCGGAAGGAACGCCCGUGGCGAAAGCGAGGUCCUGGACGCCUACUGACGCUGAGACGCGAAAGCCAGGGGAGCGAACGGG
rnacentral:rRNA from 1 species